ACUUCACCCCAGUUAUCGGUCCCACCUUCGACAGCUCCCUCCCUUUCGGGUUGGGUCACUGGCUUCGGGCGUUACCAACUCCCAUGGUGUGACGGGCGGUGUGUACAAGACCCGGGAACGUAUUCACCGCGACAUGCUGAUUCGCGAUUACUAGCGAUUCCAGCUUCAUGUAGUCGAGUUGCAGACUACAAUCCGAACUGAGACGUUAUUUUUGGGAUUUGCUUCACAUCACUGCCUCGCUUCCCUUUGUUUACGCCAUUGUAGCACGUGUGUAGCCCAAAUCAUAAGGGGCAUGAUGAUUUGACGUCAUCCCCACCUUCCUCCAGGUUAUCCCUGGCAGUCUCUCUAGAGUGCCCCGCUCUUUCCGCUGGCUACUAAAGAUAAGGGUUGCGCUCGUUGCGGGACUUAACCCAACAUCUCACGACACGAGCUGACGACAACCAUGCACCACCUGUCUCCUGUGCUCCGAAGAGAAAGAGGCGUUACCCUCCUGUCACAGGGAUGUCAAGACUUGGUAAAGUUCUUCCCGUUGCUUCGAAUUAAACCACAUGCU
rnacentral:rRNA from 1 species